GAGCUUGCUCUUCUUGGAUGAGUUGCGAACGGGUGAGUAACGCGUAGGUAACCUGCCUUGUAGCGGGGGAUAACUAUUGGAAACGAUAGCUAAUACCGCAUAACAAUGGAUGACCCAUGUCAUUUAUUUGAAAGGGGCAAAUGCUCCACUACAAGAUGGACCUGCGUUGUAUUAGCUAGUAGGUGAGGUAACGGCUCACCUAGGCGACGAUACAUAGCCGACCUGAGAGGGUGAUCGGCCACACUGGGACUGAGACACGGCCCAGACUCCUACGGGAGGCAGCAGUAGGGAAUCUUCGGCAAUGGGGGCAACCCUGACCGAGCAACGCCGCGUGAGUGAAGAAGGUUUUCGGAUCGUAAAGCUCUGUUGUAAGUCAAGAACGAGUGUGAGAGUGGAAAGUUCACACUGUGACGGUAGCUUACCAGAAAGGGACGGCUAACUACGUGCCAGCAGCCGCGGUAAUACGUAGGUCCCGAGCGUUGUCCGGAUUUAUUGGGCGUAAAGCGAGCGCAGGCGGUUUGAUAAGUCUGAAGUUAAAGGCUGUGGCUCAACCAUAGUUCGCUUUGGAAACUGUCAAACUUGAGUGCAGAAGGGGAGAGUGGAAUUCCAUGUGUAGCGGUGAAAUGCGUAGAUAUAUGGAGGAACACCGGUGGCGAA
rnacentral:rRNA from 1 species